rnacentral:misc_RNA from 1 species
UUUCGAUUUCAUCAUUCUCUCCCUAAAUUUGUUUUUCCAGUUUUGCUUUGCUUCAAGCUGUAGUUUACAGUACUGGAACUUAUAUUUUUCGGGAUGGUCAGAGCCCUCUAUUGUUGAAAAGACAGCGAAACAAUUGACAAGUACAUAAACACUUGAAGAGAUGACAAAGCAUCGGUUCAGGGAAAGAGUUAAAUCCUUUUUUGGAAGUCAUGUUGAUCCUGAG